rnacentral:rRNA from 1 species
AGAGUUUGAUUCUGGCUCAGGAUGAACGCUAGCUACAGGCUUAACACAUGCAAGUCGAGGGGCAUCAUGAUCAAAGCUUGCUUGAUGAUGGCGACCGGCGCACGGGUGAGUAACGCGUAUCCAACCUUCCCCCUAGUAGGGCAUAGCCCGGCGAAAGUCGGAUUAAUACCCUAUGUUUUCCGUUGAUGGCAUCUGACAUGGAAUAAAGAUUCAUCGCUAGGGGAUGGGGAUGCGUCCGAUUAGGUAGUCGGCGGGGUAACGGCCCACCGAGCCUUCGAUCGGUAGGGGUUCUGAGAGGAAGGUCCCCCACAUUGGAACUGAGACACGGUCCAAACUCCUACGGGAGGCAGCAGUGAGGAAUAUUGGUCAAUGGGCGUGAGCCUGAACCAGCCAAAGUAGCGUGCAGGAUGACGGCCCUAUGGGUUGUAAACUGCUUUUGCCGGGGAAUAAAGUGAGGGACGUGUCCCUUUUUGUAUGUACCCGGAGAAUAAGGACCGGCUAAUUCCGUGCCAGCCGCCGC